AGUUAUCAGGGGACCCAGUUACAGCCACAACUGGUGGAUCCUGUAGCAGUGGUGGUAGUUUCUACACAGGAAGUGUAUCUGUGAAUUACAAUGUCCCUGCUGUAUACGGCCAAACUGUACAUUUACGUUUAAUCAUCAAUAACAAUCCUAGUAUCUCAACCACGUCUACAGGAACACUGUCAUUCAUACCACUCUACAAUCUCACAUGAACAUCAGAUUUAGCAGUACUUUGAAAACAAUUUACGUGGACGUGUCAAAUGGACAAUCCU